rfam:Myotis davidii contig30574, whole genome shotgun sequence.
UUUGACAAAGAAAGAAAUAUUUACUUGGAACAACACAGAGAAGAUUAGCAUGGCCCCUGUGUAAGGAGGACAUAAAAAUUCAUGAAGCAUUCCAUAUAUUU